rnacentral:rRNA from 1 species
GACGUAGGUGGCGAACGUUAUCCGGAAUUAUUGGGCGUAAAGCGCGCGUAGGCGGUUACUUAAGUCGGAUGUGAAAGCCCUCGGCUUAACUGAGGAAGUGCAUCCGAAACUGAGUAGCUAGAGUACGAAAGAGGGUCGCGGAAUUCCCGGUGUAGAGGUGAAAUUCGUAGAUAUCGGGAGGAACACCGGUGGCGAAGGCGGCGACCUGGGUCGAGACUGACGCUGAUGCGCGAAAGCGUGGGGAGCAAACAGG